UACAUGGGGUGCAAACGUUGCUCGGAAUUAUUGGGCGUAAAGCGCGCGUAGGCGGUUACUUAAGUCGGAUGUGAAAGCCCUCGGCUUAACUGAGGAAGUGCACCCGAAACUGAGUAGCUGGAGUACGAAAGAGGGUCGCGGAAUUCCCGGUGUAGAGGUGAAAUUCGUAGAUAUCUGGAGGAACACCGGUGGCGAAGGCGGCAUCCUGGACCAAUACUGACGCUGAGGGGCGAAAGCCAGGGGAGCAAACGGG
rnacentral:rRNA from 1 species